rnacentral:snRNA from 1 species
AACUUUGUGCAGUGGCAGUAUCAUAGCCAAUGAGGUUAAUCUGAGGCACAAUUAUUGCUAAUUGAAAACUGUUCCCUACACAU